UACGAAGGUGGCGAAUGUUGCUCGGAUUCACUGGGCGUAAAGCGUCGGUAGGAGGUUGUUUAAGUCAGGUGUGAAAGCCCCGUGCUCAACAUGGGAAUUGCACUUGAAACUAGACAACUUGAAGGUAUGAGAGGAUGGCGGAAUAUCCGGUGUAGAGGUAAAAUUCAUAGAUAUCGGAUGGAACACCCAUGGCGAAGGCAGCUAUCUGGCAUAUUCUUGACUCUGAGCGACGACAGCGUGGGGAGCAAACAGG
rnacentral:rRNA from 1 species